GGACAUACUGCAGUACCUUUCCCCCAUCUACUCGCUGAACCAAACACUAAUUACGACUCUCAACAACUUCAACGUACUCGAAUAAUCCUAACAUUUCCCUUGUCUGAAAAGUCUCUGCUGGCCAUUCUGCUGCAAACUCUUGUACGGUACGGUACGGUUCAAUAAAUAUCCUAAAGGGCGGUCGAAUUGCCCAGCCAUGAAUUGCAAUAGUAUUGCAGAUGACAUUUUCGAUGAAUAUAUCGAGUACAUCGAGUAUGACGAUAACGAUGAUAUCGACGAUCUCGAAGAUAGCAAAGAAAAUCGUACGAACAAUACAGACGUGGUCGGUCAAAGAGUUUCAAAAGAACAAUACUCGCGAAUGGACCAAUUUCAUAAAGAGAAUUGUGAAGCUUG